rnacentral:sRNA from 1 species
AAUUUUAAAAACAAAAACUCAUGCGUAGCAUGGGUGUUCAUCUAAUCAUAUAUAUGAAAGUUGGCCAACUCUCUGCAUAUGAGUGACACAUCAUCACACCAGUGAACGCUACAUGUCAUUCUAAAUUAAUAUUAUUAAAAAAGAAUAAAAG